GUAGUGAAUCAAGUUUAAGGGGGGAUGUUGAAAGAAUAAACUUGUUCACAUUAUUUAAUUUGUUCACAUUAUAUUUAAUUUAGUUCAUGAACUAGUAGAAUUAAUGUAUUAGGAGAUACAUGAAUUGGUGGAAAAUUCUAGAUUAGUCUAGUAAGUUCUUAUUCAUGUAAUUGGAGGAUGUAAAGUGUGAAAUUAUUAAUAGCGAUACGUGUAUGCUAGACUAGAUACAUGGACGAAUUGGGAUACUCUUUAAUCUUUUCAGAAGUAGCAGAAAAGUGAACAAAGUGAAAAAGAAAAAGAAAAAGAAAAAAAAAAGACUACAACCCGAAUUCCCAAUUUCCUCAAGACCCAAAAGUUGAAAAUCCCAAACCCUUCCCCCCAAAAGCUAUCCACGAAAAUUUCCCCCCUCCUUGGCAACUUUAACCAGCCAGCCCUAAGGUGUCCCUCCUCUCUCGGCAAACAUGAAUCUUCAAGGGACCUCGUUGAGUUAGAUAAACUUCAAGAUUCUUUGUUAUAGCUGCAUAAUUGCUUAAGAGAGCAGAUGAGUUGGUGAGACAUAGUAACCUUCAUCAUCAGUGGAUAUAGGGUGAGUAUCUACAUUCAUUUAAAAUGCAACUAACCAAGAAAAAUCUCAUCUUUCUUUGCAUUCCAGCAAUGCUACUUCCCUUUCUAUAUGCUUUAUGAAACAAUUCUGAUGUUGAAUUGGCAUAGUUUGUGUUCUUUUUUUCGAACCUUGUUAUUUGAGAAUAUAAAUUUUUGGCAAUUACGAACUUAAGGAUUUACACGAUU